UUCCUCUUCUCCUGUCAGAAGUGCCAGGGAUUUUUCUCUUAUCUUCAUUGUGAGAACCUGCUACCACUUAGGAGCUAACAGGCAGUAAACCAGGCACGGGAUUGGGGGGCAGCUGUCUGUCCAGGAACUCAGCAGUUACGCUUCCUGUUCUCCUGCCAGGCUGGGUCCCCUGGAGGUCUUUCUCUGGACUUUGGGUCCCAAAGAAAUUCUUUCGAGGUUCUGGGUGUCCUGAACAAAGAAUUGGACAAGACAUGCAGAAAAGGCACCAACGGUGAUUUACAGCAACAUCCCUAGAUUAAGUCACCUGGCAUGGAUCAGGCCUCACGGACUCCACACGCCCUCUACAGGAUACUGUCGGCACAGCAGCUCGAGUGGGCCUUCUCUGUCCAUUUCCGUGGCUCAAAUUUUCCAGUGGUUCAGGAUAAAACCCAGGCCCCAGCUGCGACCCUCAAGGCUCUGGUGGUCAUGGCCAGUUCUGCCUCACCGAUCUUUUGGUCCGACAAGCUACUCUGUCUCCCACCACCAUCCAUGUGCCUGAUACAGUCCAGGACCCAGAACUAUUAAUAUAGAUGUAUCUGUGUAAGCAGCUGCUACACAAAAGAUAGGACAUUUUAGGAGUUUUGUUUGGUGAAUAUACUUUAUUAGUGCCUAUUAAUUUUAUAAAAUAUUUGAUAUUUCUGUUCAUGUACCUGUUUUGAUCAUGCUCAUCCCUUCAUUCCCCCCUUUCCCCCUCUCCCCCCUUAUGCCCUUCCUCUUGUCUAAUAAGCUUCCCUUCCAUUUUCAUGUCACAAACUGUGGAAUUUUUAUUUGCACAAUAGAUUAAUCUAAAUUUAGUCCUCAUUGCAGAAAAAUGUUUUUGUCAUUCUUAAACGUUUUCUAUGUUUUUUAAAAAUCCGAGUUAAAGUUUUCCUAUAGCAGGAAUAGAUUUAAAAUGAAGCUGAUAAAUAAAGUUAAGGUUCAGAGGUAUGAGCUUGUAUAGCUUCUUUCAAGGUCCUGAGCAAGACCUAGGAAUGUGUUCAUGUAUCGUAUGUUUUUGUAAAAUUUGAAAAAAAAUAAGAUAUUAUUUUAACUGUAAUCAUUUAAAACCAUUAUAUUUCCUUCUAAUGAUUCUUUGCAGCCGAUGGAAUUGGAGUGGCUCUAGUCAUUUCUGAGACCUAGUUAAGGAAAAGCUGAAUUGCAGAUACAUUUGGUUGGGUUUUCAUGAGAUAUAUUUACUUGGUUCCCAAUUACUUCAUGUAGGAAGCACUUGUGCUAAGUUAUACUGAUUGUUCCAUUGUGGGGAGGGCUUUUAUAAUACCCCUAUUGUCCACUGUGCCUGCAAACCUGGCUUUGUGACCCAAAGUGUGGAUGUAAUGAAGGAGGAAAAAGCCUUGAAAUUACAAACUAGAAGCUAGUCUGUAUAUAACUUGUAAUACCAAAGUGCAGGAUUUAGUUCUCAUUGAUGCUUUGUCGAAGCUGUGUUCUAGCCAGGCAUGGUGCCAUACGCCUGUAAUCCUGGCACUUGGGAGGCUGAGGCAGGAGGAUCAGUGCAAGUUUCAGGCCAGCCUGGGAUAUAUAGUGAGUUUAAAGCCAGCCUAAACUACACAGAGAGACCCUGUUUGAAAAAAACAAUUUUUUUAAAAGCAGUUCUAUCCCAUCAGAAAAUAAAAAGUAAAAAACCCAAAGCCCUCAUAAUAGUUUACUGUAAUAAUGGCAUCUUUGACAGAUUUAGAGUCGUCUUCAAUUUAUAGUAUUGAAAAUUAGUCACUACCUUAAUUGAAACGUUAAAGCUCAUAUUUUUAAACAAACAGGUUUUCCUGAAUUUGACAUCAAUCCUGAUGAUUUACAUGAUAUUCAAUAUACUGAGUUUUUAUUUGAUAUUACAAAAGUUAUUAUAAAAUGCAGCAAGGGCAGGGGAUUUAGCUCAGUGGCUCUCGCGCCUGCCUUGCAAGUACAAGGUCCUGAGUUCGAUCCCCAGUACCAGAAAAACAUAAAAUGCAUCAAGACUGUGGGGAAAAGUGAUGACCUGGUCAAUUACUAUAGAUUUACCUAUAUAAUGCAUCUAUUAGUAUUUCCAUAAUGCAAUGAAAUUCUUUCUGUAUGAAACCACAUCCCUGGAGUUGGUGAUGUUUGUGACAUUGGCAGCUUUUUAAAUUUUGAAAUUGGUUUUGAUUUCAUUUCUCAUUUUAAAUAGUCACUGUGGUAUUUCCCCUACGCCUGCCUAUUACAAUCCUUACUGUCCAGGAUGGACAGAAAUAGGGAACCACAGGGAGGAACCUUGUUUAGCGUGCUGUGGGGAUGCACUGCACACUCUUCUCCCUGUCAGAAAGGGAAAGAAGAAAUGGAUCAGAAGAACGGGGAAAACUGCAGAGGAGAGAAAGAAACACAGAAGUUAAGCUGAACAGGUGACAGUGGGCAAGGAGCUACUAACUAGAAAGAGACACAUAAAGCAAAAUAUUAGGCAAAUGUAGAGUAAAUCAGACCAAAUAUUUUAGAGGCUUUUCUAACUCUCUGCCAUGCCUUUCCUUGAUAGUAAAUUAGCCAUUUGUUUAAGCCUUGCUUAAAUCAUAAGGAAGUGAGCUAAUUUUCUUUUUUUUUUUUGGUACUGGGGAUUGAACUCAGGUCCUUGCGCUUGCACAGCAGGUGGCCAAACCACUGAGCUAAAUCCCCACCCCAGUGAGGUAAUUUUCAAUGUCAUGUGUUCCUGGAAUAGAGCCAUGGAGGUGGGAAGAUGGUACAGCGCUACAGAGUGGGGAAGAACAGAGCAUUUGUCAGCUGCAAAUUUCUGGAUCCUUCUGCUAUUCACUCAUAUUUAAAACACUGGUGACCCUCUGAGGCCUGGCCACUUCCUCAGCCUUGUAGUUCUGAAGCCCAGUCCCAUAAAAUAGAAACCAUUUUUUAAAACCUUGAAAUAAAUGUAAUGGAGGAAAAAUAAAAGUUUAGAUGGUAGCAUUACAGGUGGUUUUCUCCCCACACUUACUAUUUUUCUUAUAGCUUUUCUAACGUCCUUUGAGUUAGAAAUAAUUUUUAAAACAAGCAAUCAAUAAAAUCAAAAAUUAAGGUAAAGUUGAUCUUCUUUUAAGGUAUCCCUAACAGCCACACAUGGAAAUAAGAAUUUCCUUGUAUUACAAAACUAGCUUCCUAAAUUUUUUUAAAUUUUAUUUUAUUGGUACAUUUUAGGUAUACAAUAUAAUGACAUUCAUCAUUGGAAAUUUGCACCUUUACAUAAUCUCUCUUGGUUUUUAUUUUUCCCCUUCCCCUGCCCUCCCUUCAACCCCUCCAUCCCUCCCUAUUUACAAAGACUUUGUUUCCAUUUUUUCAUUUUCUCAAGCUUCCUAAAUUUUUAUGUUGAUGGCACAAGCUUUAAGAUAAUCUGUGUUAAAGGAAAGUAAACACCCUUGAAUGGGUAGCGACUACAGGGUGUGGUUCUGAACAUCCAUAACAGAGAAGCACCUGUACAUAGGAUAAAUUUCCUGACCUCCCCCAAGUCUAGCAGUAGAAAGCAGCUCCUGAGCCCCUCCAAAGCCUCCCCCAGCACCUCCAGCUAAUCCUGGGCCUUGGUCAGAUGGCUUCCUUCACGUCCACCUCACCAGCUGUGUCUUUCAAAAACACUUAGAGACUGCAGCCAAGACGGUUUUUUAACUUUCAGUUUUUAUUGAGAGGUAAAUUAGGAGUUGGGAACAGUCCCAACUUAACUUUCCUAAUACCGUCACUAAGUGGCCACGGGUAAUUGCCUGAAAGCUGCAGCUGCCAUCUGACAGUCUGAACAGAACAAGCUGUGGUGGUCAGCAAAGCUUGAAAGGGUCAGUGAUGCAGGGCCGCUCCACAGCCAAUUAUCGACAUGCUUUACUGAAACUUAGAUGGAAAAACCAAAACUCCAGAAUGUGUGAAAUGUGGAUCAGCACUACCUGAAGAGUUUCUGCAUUGAAUGUUCUGGGCUAAAGGGACACACACUGUAAUUGUUGAAAACUAAUGAUGAUGAUGUCUAACAGAAAAUGACUUGCUUAUGUACACAUAAUUGGAUCUGUUGCUGGGAACACUCACCUACUGCUGAUGGCUUUUAGAGUAUCUCAGUGCUGUAGGCAGGAGCAUUUCAGCCCUUCAUAUUCCUGCAGGGCAUAUACAGGCAAUGUGGCACAUUGAAAUGAAUCCAAACCCAGUUCCAGGCCUGCCUUUGUUGCCUCUCCAGGCAAAGGUGGGUGAGUCACUCUGUGUCUGAGGGCCUCAUACACCCAUCUGUAAGAGGAGAAAGACAUACUUCACCAGGUAGCUAAGGAAGUCAAAGGGAUAGAUGUUAAGAACUUAGGAAUUCUAUACAAAUAUAGAGAGAGCAUGUCUUGCAAAUGAAGGAUUCUUUAGCUCUAGCACUUUGAGUCAUGGUCUUGUUCUCCAGGCCCCAUGGGGACUGCCAUGUCUGCUCUGCCUAGGGGCAUUUCAGUUGGUGAGGAGCACAGCUGUAGAAUUCCUUGGGUUUUGUGAUUAAUGAUAUUCUUUCAGUUUAGCUAAGAGCCAGUAGUAUUUGAAAAAUCUGUUAAGAAUUAAAUCCUCUUGUCUUGCCACAAGUUAGCCUGAACCUAACCAAAAGCAUGUGGUGGUGACCAUGCAUGAGUAGUGGAAUGAAUGCAUACAAGCUGGUGUGCAGAACAUCUUAGCUAGUGCAAAGUGUUCAUUAGCUCUCUCUUUGCUCCAUAAUGACAAUGAAGUGUAUGGCGGAGAGCAUCACUAACCUGGUGAAAUAAAGAUGCUCCUCAAUGGAUGAUGGGGUUAUUCCUGUAAACUCAUUAUAAAUUUAAAAUAUCCUAAUCUGAAAAUGCAUUUAAUGCACUUAACCUGAACAACAUCAUAACUUAGCAACCCACCACACUACAGUGGACUGGGUAUUUCUCUCAAGAUCCUGGACAUUUCUGCUCUUUAAAUUCCUGAAAGGCAUAUAAAGGCUGUCCAGCAUCAUAAGAGGAGUUGGUAUAAAGAUCAAGAUGCAAUAUGUAUAUGUACCAGUUCACAGUGAUGACUGUAUUUACUUGUAUCACAAACAUACACUUACACAUUUUUUUCUUAAGAGGAAGUCGAACAGCAUAUUGAUAGCUCAAGGGAAAAUAAAAAUUCAAAGUAUGAUUUUCACCAAACACAUACCAUUUUUAUACCAUCAUAACCAGAACCAUGAUAACGGGAGAUUUUUGGGUCAUCAUUUCCUACUCUGUGGACAAACUUUUACCAUUUACUGAUUUGCUCAUAUUAGGAUAUUAUUAAGCCCAAUUGUAGUUUUCUGUUACGCUUUAUCUUAGUUUGUUUCAUUGACCUUAAACUGUCCAAGAAAAGCAACAUACUAUUUUUCUUACAGUUCUAUUUUCAAUCCUGGAAUAAAAAAAAUUCUGUCAUAGAACAAAAUAUGAAAGUAGUUUCCAGCAAUAGGAAAGCAGACCUGAAAGCAUACAGACAGAUAAAACUGAGGAAUUAGAAAAUAAGGAUCUCUGGUUUGUUUGUUUGUUUGUUUGUUUUGGUCUUUCUAAGUUAUAAAAGUAAUACAGAGCCUGGGAUUUAGCUCAGUGGUGCCACCACCUGCCUCACAAGUGCAAGGUCCUGAGUUCGAUCCCCAGUACCAAAAAAAAAAAAUGUAAUACAUACUUAUUGUAGAAAAUUGGCACUCAAAGGUACAGAAAAGUAAGAGACAGAAAAUCACUGUUACCAUAU
rnacentral:lncRNA from 1 species